GGGAGCGUAGUAUAGUUUGGUCCAGUAUUCCAGCUUCGGGAGUUGGAGACAGGGGUUCAAAUCCUCUCGCUCCCA
rnacentral:tRNA from 1 species